UCGAGGUUCGACUAAGCCAUGCGAGUCGAAUGCCGCAAGGCAUGGCGUACUGCUCAGUAACACGUGGAUAACCUACCCUUGGGACGGGCAUAAACCCGGGAAACUGGGUAUAAUUCCCGAUAGGUCUGGGAGGCUGGAAUGCAUUCAGACUGAAAGCUCCGGCACCCAAGGAUGGGUCUGCGGCCUAUCAGGUAGUAGUGGGUGUAACGUACCUACUAGCCUACUACGGGUACGGGUUGUGAGAGCAAGAGCCCGGAGAUGGAUUCUGAGACACGAAUCCAGGCCCUACGGGGUGCAGCAGGCGCGAAAACUUUACAAUGCGGGCAACC
rnacentral:rRNA from 1 species